AUGUUCGUUUAUUGCCUCCAGCUAGUUAAAAAUCAAUUCCCAAGUGAUAGCUUCCAAAGGGAAAGAUACACAUGUACUCCAGGAAAACACAAAUUACUUUUCACCUUUAGAUACGAAACAGGUCUCCUGCAGCUCCGGGUUCUGAUUUAUCCGCUGUCACAUCCGAAGCCCAUCCCCGCAGUCCCUUCCUGCACGUCAGGCUUCGCUGUUCGGAUCACGUCUAAGUUUUCAAGGAAUUUGGCCGACUCAGCCUCAAUAUGUAGCCCAGAGCUGUAUGUGGGGAGGUGUUCAGAGUUUUUGUUGAAUGAACAUAUGCAUCUAUUUUUUACAUCCUACUGCACCCCUGAGCAGAGAGCUUCCCCUCAAGCCCCUCAGCUCCGACUUCCCAGCCUGACAACUGUUCAGGGGAGCUCUUGCGAUGCUGCACAGGGGGCGACCAGAUUCUCAGGGCCCAAAACAGCUGCCAGGCAAGCCUCUCUCUGUUGGCUCUUCUCCGAGCUCCUGGACACUGGCAGGAUCCUUAUGAUCAUCAUCUCAGACAGAAGAACAAGUGAGUUUUUGUUUUUAUUGCCUAUUAUUGUUCAUGUCGCUUAGGGCUGAGAUUGAGUUUUUAAAUCACAGUAGAUGCCUUUGAAGAAGCUUAGGACCAAAAGACAGACUUUCCCCCAAGGCCUAUAACCAGCUAGUGGCAGAGUUUGUAUUCAUUCCUGUCUCUACCACACCACCCUUUAUUUCUGUCUCUCUAUAGUGUCUACAUACUAGUUGCUCAACAAAUUGUUAACUGGUUUAAUCUGAUGCAGUUAAGUGAA
rnacentral:lncRNA from 1 species